rnacentral:rRNA from 1 species
ACUCAAAUGAAUUGACGGGGGCCCGCACAAGCAGCGGAGCGUGUGGUUUAAUUCGAGGCUACACGAAGAACCUUACCUAGCUUUGCAUGGGAGUGAACGAGGGAGAAAUCCUGAGGUUCGCAAGACACUCUCACUGGUGCUGCAUGGCUGUCGUCAGCUCGUGUCGUGAGAUGUUAGGUUAAGUCCUGUAACGAGCGCAACCCCUGGCAGUAGUUACACGAAGUCUACUGCAACUGCCUGCGUAAGUGGGAGGAAGGUGGGGAUGACGUCAAGUCAGCAUGGCCUGUAUAGCUAGGGCUACACACACGCUACAAUGGUCGGUACAACAGGUUGCCAAGCCGCAAGGCGGAGCUAAUCCUCCAAAGCCGAUCUCAGUUCAGAUUGUGGGCUGCAACCCGCCCACAUGAAGUCGGAGUUGCUAGUAACCGUGCGUCAGCCAUAGCGCGGUGAAUACGUUCCCGGGCCUUGUACACACCGCCCGU